rnacentral:rRNA from 1 species
GACGAACGCUGGCGGCGGGCUUAACACAUGCAAGUCGAACGGAAAGGCCCUGCUUUUGUGGGGUGCUCGAGUGGCGAACGGGUGAGUAACACGUGAGUAACCUGACCUUGACUUUGGGAUAACUUCAGGAAACGGGGGCUAAUACCGGAUAGGAGCUCCUGCUGCAUGGUGGGGGUUGGAAAGUUUCGGCGGUUGGGGAUGGACUCGCGGCUUAUCAGCUUGUUGGUGGGGUAGUGGCUUACCAAGGCUUUGACGGGUAGCCGGCCGGAGAGGGUGACCGGCCACAUUGGGACUGAGAUACGGCCCAGUCUCCUACGGGAGGCAGCAGUGGGGAAUAUUGCACAAUGGGCGGAAGCCUGAUGCAGCAACGCCGCGUGCGGGAUGACGUCCUUCGGGUUGUAAACCGCUUUCGCCUGUGACGAAGCGUGAGUGACGGUAAUGGGUAAAGAAGCACCGGCUAACUACGUG